AACGCUAGCUACAGGCUUAACACAUGCAAGUCGAGGGGCAUCGGGGUGUAGCAAUACACCGCUGGCGACCGGCGCACGGGUGAGUAACACGUAUCCAACCUGCCCUUUACUCGGGGAUAGCCUUUCGAAAGAAAGAUUAAUACCCGAUGGUAUAACAUGACCUCCUGGUUUUGUUAUUAAAGAAUUUCGGUAGAGGAUGGGGAUGCGUUCCAUUAGGCAGUUGGCGGGGUAACGGCCCACCAAACCUUCGAUGGAUAGGGGUUCUGAGAGGAAGGUCCCCCACAUUGGAACUGAGACACGGUCCAAACUCCUACGGGAGGCAGCAGUGAGGAAUAUUGGUCAAUGGGCGAGAGCCUGAACCAGCCAAGUAGCGUGAAGGAUGACCGCCCUAUGGGUUGUAAACUUCUUUUAUAUGGGAAUAAAGGGUGCCACGUGUGGCAUUUUGUAUGUACCAUAUGAAUAAGGAUCGGCUAACUCCGUGCCAGCAGCCGCGGUAAUACGGAGGAUCCGAGCGUUAUCCGGAUUUAUUGGGUUUAAAGGGAGCGUAGGUGGACAUGUAAGUCAGUUGUGAAAGUUUGCGGCUCAACCGUAAAAUUGCAGUUGAUACUGCGUGUCUUGGGUACGGUAGAGGUGGGCGGAAUUCGUGGUGUAGCGGUGAAAUGCUUAGAUAUCACGAAGAACUCCGAUUGCGAAGGCAGCUCACUGGACUGCAACUGACACUGAUGCUCGAAAGUGUGGGUAUCAAACAGGAUUAGAUACCCUGGUAGUCCACACAGUAAACGAUGAAUACUCGCUGUUUGCGAUAUACAGUAAGCGGCCAAGCGAAAGCAUUAAGUAUUCCACCUGGGGAGUACGCCGGCAACGGUGAAACUCAAAGGAAUUGACGGGGGCCCGCACAAGCGGAGGAACAUGUGGUUUAAUUCGAUGAUACGCGAGGAACCUUACCCGGGCUUAAAUUGCAAAUGAAUAUGCCGGAAACGGCAUAGCCGCAAGGCAUUUGUGAAGGUGCUGCAUGGUUGUCGUCAGCUCGUGCCGUGAGGUGUCGGCUUAAGUGCCAUAACGAGCGCAACCCUUAUCUUCAGUUACUAACAGGUCAUGCUGAGGACUCUGGAGAGACUGCCGUCGUAAGAUGUGAGGAAGGUGGGGAUGACGUCAAAUCAGCACGGCCCUUACGUCCGGGGCUACACACGUGUUACAAUGGGGGGUACAGAAGGCCGCUACACAGCGAUGUGAUGCCAAUCCCUAAAGCCCCUCUCAGUUCGGAUCGAAGUCUGCAACCCGACUUCGUGAAGCUGGAUUCGCUAGUAAUCGCGCAUCAGCCACGGCGCGGUGAAUACGUUCCCGGGCCUUGUACACACCGCCCGUCAAGCCAUGGGAGCCGGGGGUACCUGAAGUACGUAACCGCAAGGAGCGUCCUAGGGUAAAACUGG
rnacentral:rRNA from 1 species